rnacentral:rRNA from 1 species
GACGAACGCUGGCGGCGUGCCUAAUACAUGCAAGUUGAGCGCUGAAGGUUGGUACUUGUACCAAUUGGAUGAGCAGCGAACGGGUGAGUAACGCGUGGGGAAUCUGCCUUUGAGCGGGGGACAACAUUUGGAAACGAAUGCUAAUACCGCAUAACAACUUUAAACACAAGUUUUAAGUUUGAAAGAUGCAAUUGCAUCACUCAAAGAUGAUCCCGCGUUGUAUUAGCUAGUUGGUGAGGUAAAGGCUCACCAAGGCGAUGAUACAUAGCCGACCUGAGAGGGUGAUCGGCCACAUUGGGACUGAGACACGGCCCAAACUCCUACGGGAGGCAGCAGUAGGGAAUCUUCGGCAAUGGACGAAAGUCUGGCCGAGCAACGCCGCGUGAGUGAAGAAGGUUUUCGGAUCGUAAAACUCUGUUGGUAGAGAAGAACGUUGGUGAGAGUGGAAAGCUCAUCAAGUGACGGUAACUACCCAGAAAGGGACGGCUAACUACGUG